rnacentral:rRNA from 2 species
AACGCGAAGAACCUUACCUGGACUUGACAUCGUCUGCAUAUCUAAGAGAUUAGAGGAACCCUUCGGGGCAGAUAGACAGGUGGUGCAUGGUUGUCGUCAGCUCGUGUCGUGAGAUGUUAGGUUAAGUCCUGCAACGAGCGCAACCCUUAUCAUUAGUUGCUACCAUUAAGUUGAGCACUCUAAUGAGACUGCCCGGGUUAACCGGGAGGAAGGUGGGGAUGACGUCAAAUCAUCAUGCCCCUUAUGUCCAGGGCUACACACGUGCUACAAUGGUGAGUACAAUUAGAAGCGAACCCGCGAGGGGGAGCAAAACUGAAAAACUCAUCCCAGUUCGGAUUGCAGGCUGCAACUCGCCUGCAUGAAGCCGGAGUUGCUAGUAAUCGCGAAUCAGCAUGUCGCGGUGAAUACGUUCCCGGGCCUUGUACACACCG